UCUUGUCCUAUAAUCUGCAACGGUAGCUGCUACGUACUAAUUAACAACCUGAUCAAUGCAACACCUACAUCAUCUCCCUUACAGAGUUGCAGUGCCUCACCAUCUUCCUUAUAUAAACUUCCAAAUCAAAACAGAAGAAAUUAAGAACAUAGCACAAAGCAAAGGAGAGAACAUUUGUGACUUCGGAGAAUCCGUCUGAAUAUUUCAACUAGCGCUGUAGAGUCUAUCUGGUGCCAUAGGCUAUGUUCGUUUCUAAAUAUGUGUGUGUAAGGGGCGGGGCUAGUAUAUGUUAGGGGGAUGCCUAGGAACCCGGUCAAAAAAAUUUUUUUUUAGCUAUACCUCAUCUAUUUUCACCAUGUAUACACCCCUCAAUACAAAUUUAGGCACCCGUAUCAGCUUAAAUUUGAUCUAUAGUAGAGUAAAUUAAGUAAGUGGCACCACCCUCUGUUUCGCUCUAGCUCCGCCCCUAUGCGUAAGGAUGGGAAUCAUUGGGAAUCAGUCGUUGCAGCAUCUACCUCAUCUCUCUCCCAGUUUCUCAUCACCAUCUUCAUUAUACAAACAUCCAAAACAGUAGGGUGGAAAGAAGUCAAGAACGCGAGAACGUUUAUGAAUUUUGGAGAAUCCGUCCGAAUUUUGGAGUGAUCGUGAGGAUGGGAAGCAUCAGGGAAAAGAAGCACAGAAAUCUGGAACCUCAUUGCUUAUCAAACAGAGCCGUGAGUGGUGGAAAAUAGACAAAGCAAGGCUCUAUACCCAUCAGGAUUUCGCGUAAAAGAUUGAGAAAUAGCUAGCUGAAUCAUGACAUUUUGUUUCCAACAUUCCUCAGUUCCUCUACGUGUGUGACAAUGGGUGACAAGGGAGAGAAAACAAAUUGGUAGACGAUACGAGAAAAUUAGUAGCAAAGAAUAUCAGCAGGUCGAAGAGAAGCAGAAUUAGGACAGAUCAAAUCUACAUUACAUCCAGUUCUAUCAAACUAUGAAAUGCUUUAUGUAUAAUUCCUCCGGAAAUAAUAAAAUAAGACCACGAUUAUCUGCCAGCUAAUUACCAGUUUUUGGUGGUAUCUGACAGCAAAUUCACGUUCUUGCGGUGUCCAUAUGCUAAUUACAUGUUUUUUGGAUGUCGUUUAACAAAUUUUGCCAAAUCCAUUUUCCCCUCAAGCAAGCCUAAAUGGGUUUUAUGGAUAGUGCUCACUGUUGCCCUAGCCUAUUUUUCUAUUUUUAGUUUCGAUUUCGGUUUGGUUGCAAAAUAUGAUGUUAGCUUCAUUUUUUUACAAACUUUUUUUAAGCAACUAGCACUAGAUAUUAUAUACUACUCAUACGUUGUUUUUCAAAAAAACAUUUUUUUUCUAAAUUGAAUUUGUCCAAAUUAUAUCAAGCUUGGGUACUGCACCGUAAGCUGGUAAUCACCGGUAGAAAAACCCUAAACAGCAUACCCCUUAUUUUUUUGUGAGGGAGUAGCUAGCAUGGGGCUUUUCCAUGUCUUUAUUUUCGUUAUUUCCUCUUAUCCUGACAUUACUUACACCUCUCAUUGCCUCACCGUCUUCUUUAUAUAAACCUCCAAAAUGAAAUAGAAGAAAAAUUGAGGACGAAGCAAACAAGUGAACAUUAAUUUAGGUUCUAUAUCUUUGUGUCCCAUGCGGUUUUCGUUUUUGACCCUCUGUGUGCCUGAGGAUGGGAAGCAUCAGGAGAAAGACACCCAGAACGACCAAGGAGACGGGUGGGACAUCAAUCAGCUGAGCGAGAACCAAAGAGAAUUAACGUCCAGAUUAUGUAGAAUGUCCGAGGCCUCUUCGCGUGCCAGAUCGACAAGAUAGAGUAAAACACCAUUAGCCGAAAGUUCUUAGCACAUUUCUCUAUUUAGAGGAGGUUAUUUGCAAUCUGCGGACGAGAAUUAACAUGCCAAAUCUGGCUUCUAUGCA